GGUAGCUCCCCGGCCUCUCUCUCUCUCUCUCUCUCUCUCUCUCAGAGGUUUUGAGGACCAGGCAAAUGACCAAAAAAUCACCGAAAAGACAGGCCAUACUUCUCACAUCAAUGUCUAAAGCGGUAAAGUCACCACAAGGAGACUUCCCCCAUCACUUUUCACAUGGCAAUCCUUUCUUCUGAAUAAAUUUCCAGUAUCUGGGAAUGAUUCCAUCUUGAAGAACUGCCACAGUCUCAAAAUGAAACGGCAACACGGAGGCUCUUGCACAUCCAAACGGAACCCUACCAUUAGGCCUGAUGAGCCACCCGCUCAUGUUUAAUAUCACCUACACAGAAACGUAGCGAUAAUAGAAUGCAUCGCAAGACAGUGAGAGACAGGAAACCAAAAUGGAAGAUUAAAAAGCUUCGGAUCAAGUCACAGUUUGCACCAAUGCAAAUAACUAGCUCUAAGCAAGGAGGAACUUUAAACAUAAAAGGUGAAAAGCAGGAGUGCUAUGCAAAUGGAAUGUUUUGAAGCAAACUGGAACAUAUUGCAAUGUGCUUCUUGUUAUCUUCUCAGUUUCCCAACCAGCACCAAAGAGGAGCGAUUCCCUGCAGUAUGAAAGCUCAGCACUCUCUCCCAUCCUAUCAGAAGAUAGGAGCUGGAGAGGAGAAAGUUUCAUGUUGUUGGGUCCACAGCAGGAAAAGACCUCAGCCUCCUAUCAUCUUCCUCCCUCAGCAGGAAAAAAUGAGUAGCGGGAAAAGUCUAUGGAAUAGGGGUGUGCAUGAACAAUUUGUGCAGAACCAGUUCACCUUGAACCGGGGCUGGUUUGGUCUCAGACUGAACCAGGCCUGGUUUGGGCAAACUGGCUCUGCACGAACGGAGGUGGCAAGAGAUGUAAAAUGCGGCUUACCCUGCUGGUGCAGUUGCUGGUGCUCACCUGCCCCCACCCCGUACGGUAAGCAGUGCUUUACAUCUUUCCCCGCCCCUGCCAGGCUGUCCCUUAUCUCUCGAAGGGCCCCCCACCCUGCUGCACUUGUAAAAGGGAAUCCUCACCAGAUCACCCCUUUCGAUGGCUGAACUGGAUCUGGUCUGAAUCCU